AGAGUUUGAUCCUGGCUCAGGAUGAACGCUGGCGGCGUGCCUAACACAUGCAAGUCGAACGGAGUUCUUAAGGAAUGCGACUUCGGUCAAAUGACUUUUGAACUUAGUGGCGGACGGGUGAGUAACGCGUGAGCAACCUGCCUUUCAGAGGGGGAUAACAUUUGGAAACAGAUGCUAAUACCGCAUAAGAUUACAGUACCGCAUGAUACAGUGAUCAAAGGAGCAAUCCGCUGAAAGAUGGGCUCGCGUCCGAUUAGAUAGUUGGUGAGGUAACGGCUCACCAAGUCGACGAUCGGUAGCCGGACUGAGAGGUUGAACGGCCACAUUGGGACUGAGACACGGCCCAGACUCCUACGGGAGGCAGCAGUGGGGAAUAUUGCACAAUGGGCGAAAGCCUGAUGCAGCAACGCCGCGUGAGGGAAGACGGUUUUCGGAUUGUAAACCUCUGUUUUCGGUGACGAAUAAAUGACGGUAACCGAGUAGGAAGCCACGGCUAACUACGUGCCAGCAGCCGCGGUAAUACGUAGGUGGCAAGCGUUAUCCGGAAUUACUGGGUGUAAAGGGAGCGCAGGCGGGAUAGCAAGUCAGCUGUGAAAACUAUGGGCUCAACCCAUAAACUGCAGUUGAAACUGUUAUUCUUGAGUGGAGUAGAGGCAAGCGGAAUUCCGAGUGUAGCGGUGAAAUGCGUAGAUAUUCGGAGGAACACCAGUGGCGAAGGCGGCUUGCUGGGCUCUAACUGACGCUGAGGCUCGAAAGUGUGGGGAGCAAACAGGAUUAGAUACCCUGGUAGUCCACACUGUAAACGAUGAUUGCUAGGUGUGGGGGGUCUGACCCCCUCCGUGCCGGAGUUAACGCAAUAAGCAAUCCACCUGGGGAGUA
rnacentral:rRNA from 1 species